CUUGACAUCCAGAGAACUUGGCAGAGAUGCCUUGGUGGCCUUCGGGAACUCUGAGACAGGUGCUGCAUGGCUGUCGUCAGCUCGUGUUGUGAAAUGUUGGGUUAAGUCCGCAACGAGCGCAACCCCUAUCCUUUGUUGCCAGCGAUUCGGUCGGGAACUCAAAGGAGACUGCCGGUGAUAAACCGGAGGAAGGUGGGGAUGACGUCAAGUCAUCAUGGCCCUUACGAGUAGGGCUACACACGUGCUACAAUGGCGUAUACAAAGAGAAGCGACCUCGCGAGAGCAAGCGGACCUCAUAAAGUACGUCGUAGUCCGGAUUGGAGUCUGCAACUCGACUCCAUGAAGUCGGAAUCGCUAGUAAUCGUAGAUCAGAAUGCUACGGUGAAUACGUUCCCGGGCCUUGUACACACCGCCCGUCACACCAUGGGAGUGGGUUGCAAAAGAAGUAGAUAGCUUAACCUUCGGGAGGGCGUUUACCACUUUGUGAUUCAUGACUGGGGUGAAGUCGUAACAAGGUAAGCGUAGCGAG
rnacentral:rRNA from 1 species